rnacentral:rRNA from 1 species
CGGGCUUGAACUGCCAGCGAACGAUUCAGAGAUGAUGAGGUCCUUCGGGACGCUGGUGGAGGUGCUGCAUGGUUGUCGUCAGCUCGUGCCGUGAGGUGUCGGCUUAAGUGCCAUAACGAGCGCAACCCUUUUCGCUAGUUGCCAUCAGGUGAUGCUGGGCACUCUAGUGACACUGCCACCGUAAGGUGUGAGGAAGGUGGGGAUGACGUCAAAUCAGCACGGCCCUUACGUCCGGGGCUACACACGUGUUACAAUGGCGUGUACAGAGAGUUGGUGCAUGGCGACAUGCACCGGAUCAUGAAAGCACGUCCCAGUUCGGAUCGGAGUCUGCAACCCGACUCCGUGAAGCUGGAUUCGCUAGUAAUCGCGCAUCAGCCAUGGCGCGGUGAAUACGUUCCCGGGCC